UGGGCAGAGGGUCAUGUAGUGGAAUAGAGCUGUACCUGGCUUCAGGCGAGACUUGGCAACUCCAAAAUGGAAGUACUAUUGUUAUCUCCGUUUACAAAUUAGGAAACUGAGGCACAGAUAUGCUCUUGGGUACUUGUCAGCAGCAGUUGUUCUACAAGUAAGGUGAAAAGUAGAACCUCUUUAUCACUAGGCUAAAUAUCUGGAUAUCUUAAAUCUCAGAUGAGCGUCUUAGCCUCUGGAUUACUGCUCAAUGAGGAAAGCUAUGAAAUGCAUGGAUAACUUGCUAAUCAGUAUUUGCCAUAUGUGCUAGCAGCAUCAGCAUCAGUUGGGAGAUUAUGGUGGCCUCCAUGUCAGACCUCCUAAAUCGGAAUAUCAGAGAAGGUGGCCCAGGUUACCAUGCUUCAUCUGCCAAUGCAUUGAAAACUUGGAAUGUAAAUUAAUUCAACCAUUGUGGAAGAUGGUGUAGUGAUUCCUCAAAGACCUAGAAGCAGAAAUAUCAUUUGAUCCAGAAAUCCCAUUACUGUGUAUACACCCAAAGGAAUAUAAACCAUUCUAUUACAAA
ensembl:lncRNA novel transcript